rnacentral:rRNA from 1 species
AUUGAACGCUGGCGGCAGGCCUAACACAUGCAAGUCGAGCGCGCGGCGGACGGGUGAGUAAUGUAUGGGGACUGCCCGAUAGCGGGGGAUAACUACUGGAAACGUUAGCUAAUACCCCAUACUAUCGGAUAACCCAUAUGGGAUUAGCUAGUAGGUGAGGUAAUGGCUCACCUAGGCGCCGAUCCCUAGCUGGUCUGAGAGGAUGGUCGGCCACACUGGGCCGGAGACACGGCCCAGACGCCGACGGAGGCAGCAGUUGGGAAUAUUGCACAAUGGGCGCAAGCCUGAUGAAGCCAUGCCGCGUGUAUGAAGAAGGCGCUAGGGUUGUAAAGUACUUUGAGUCGGGAGGCGGUACCGACAGAAGAAGCACCGGCUAACUCCGUGCCAGCAGCCGCGGUAAUUC